rnacentral:lncRNA from 1 species
AAAACAUAGGUCAAACCAAAAGUCAAUUAAUAAGACUAGGUUAGAAAUAAAUCAAGAAUAAAUAGUAAAUAAAUCAAGAAAAUUAUGAAAAAUUAAACUAAAUAAGGUGGGGUCAGGACAUCAUCAUCCCCCAAAACGAUUUUAAAAAAAAUGAAAAUUGACACGUGAAUUAAUUAAAACAAAACAUAGGUCAAACCAAAAGUCAAUUAAUAAGACUAGGUUAG